rnacentral:rRNA from 1 species
AGUGAACGCUGGCGGCGUGCCUAAUACAUGCAAGUCGAACGGAGUGGCGCACGGGUGAGUAAUAUAUAGCUAAUCUGCCCCUUGCUGGAGGACAACAGUUAGAAAUGACUGCUAAUACUCCAUAGCAAGGGAUGAGACUAUAUCGUAUCAGCUAGUCGGUGGGGUAACGGCCUACCGAGGCUAUGACGCGUAACUGGUCUGAGAGGAUGAUCAGUAGCAUUGGAAGUGAGGCACGAUCCGGACUCCUACGGGAGGGGGCAGUAGGGAAUCGUGCGCAAUGGGGGAGACUCUGGCGGGGCAACGGCGCGUGGAGGAUGACACUUUUCGGAGCGUAAACUCCUUUUGUUAGGGAAGCGGUACCUAACGAAUAAGCACCGGCUAACUCCGUGCCAGCAGCCGCGGUAAUUC